rnacentral:rRNA from 1 species
UGUUUGAUCCUGGCUCAGAUUGAACGCUGGCGGCACGCUUAACACAUGCAAGUCGAACGGCAGCGGGAUUGUUUUUUCGGAAACGAUUGCCGGCGAGUGGCGAACGGGUGAGUAACGCGUUGGGACCUGCCCUUAAGUGGGGGACAACCCGGGGAAACUCGGGCUAAUACCGCAUAUACUUGAGAAAGGAAAGCUGCCUUUGGGUGGCGCUUAAGGAGGGCCCUGCGUCCGAUUAGCUAGUUGGUGGGGUAACGGCCUACCAAGGCUGCGAUCGGUAACUGUUUUGAGAGGAAGGACAGUCACACUGGGACUGAGACACGGCCCAGACUCCUACGGGAGGCAGCAGUGGGGAAUAUUGGACAAUGGGGGGAACCCUGAUCCAGCGAUGCCGCGUGUGUGAAGAAGGCCUGCGGGUUGUAAAGCACUUUCACAGGUGAGGAGGGUACUGAUACUGAAUAGGUAUUGGUAUUGACGUUAACCUGAGAAGCAGCACCGGCUAACUCUGUGCCAGCAGCCGCGGUAAUACAGAGGGUGCAAGCGUUAAUCGGAAUUACUGGGCGUAAAGGGUGUGUAGGUGGUUGAAUCAGUUCACUGU